rnacentral:rRNA from 1 species
CAUGCUCGCUUCAGCGUACGGGAGCUCGCUCUUGCUGAGCGUGCGAUCUGAGGGACGGGAGCAAGCAGCGGCGGAAGUAGGGAAGCGGAGGCGGCGGGAAGUAGGGAAGCGGCGGCGUGAGCCAGAGUGUAGUUUCCGCGGGGUGAGCGCCCUCUCCUACUCGACUAGAGGUACCGGUCUACUCCCUCCUUAUGCCCACUGCCCUACCUAAACCUAGAGUUCCGCCCCUCCGGUUGCAUCGGCGGGGAUCGCGCAGCUCGCUUUCGCUCCCUAAACCUAGAGUACCUAAACCGACGCAGCUGGUCGUCUCCUGGCGGCGGCCGAACCGAGGAGGUGGUGUUUCGUUGGAGGAAGGUGGGGCAUCGGCGGCGGGUUUUGGGAUCGUUAGCUCGGGGUGGGUACCGCGGGAUCCACCAUGUCGCCGGUCUCCUCUCCUCUCCUCCACCUCGUCGGUAGCGGACCUGCACUCGUCGUAGAACACGUACGUAGGUAACUCCUGCACUCCACGUGUGGUGUAAAACCAAGUCAAAAAGGGAAGAAAUAAUAUUAAUACGGUUCCUGUAGAAUACGGAAUGUCAUCAUAAGUCUAAGAGUUCAAACAAAUAAAUAAAAAUCACGUUAUGACGAGAGGACAGACGUCCUCUAACCUCCUCUUUUAUAGUCUUUAGCCUUUGUACUGCAAAACCUAGUCAAGACCUAGUAAAAGAAAAAACCAAGUCAAAUAUAUUCACCAACAACAAAAUACAACGACGAUCGGUAGUCUUUUGCUCAAGUGUCAUCCAAAGGUAGGAAUGUUAAGUAAAACACAACGAGACUUGACUUUUUUAUCUCCCCUAUAACAACACGGAUCUCACUUCAAGUGUCAUCCAAACCGUAGUUAGCUCGUUUGAAACAAUGUCAAAAAUCACCUACAACAUACAUAAUGUAAAAACGAAAAAGAUUUUGGUGUACAUAGGUUAUUAGACUAACGAAAAGAAACAUACUCGUGGUCAAAGACUCGAAAGGGAGGUGAUAAAAAAGGAGAGAGAGAGAAAGAGAGAGAGAGUGAGUUAGAGUUGAACCGUUCGCUACCGUCGCCACUUACCCGUCGCGCCCGCAGCUCGUCCUAGUACCCCCUCGUACCCUCCGGUCUCCGACGAGUGGUAUAUGUAGCGGUAGGUAUCGGCGGGAUCAGGCGGUUCUUCGACUCCUCCCUCCGACUGGAGGUCACUGGUGAGACGUGGCGAGACCUGCUGUGGGAGGGGGUGGUCUCUCUUUCACGUUUUCGAUACCCGUUAGGAUAUACUGACCGCGGUAGUCAUUCCUAAAUAAAUUUCGAUCGAAUGACAACCCAGAUUCGGUUCAAAUAAAGAAAGCGUCUAAAUAAGUGGAAUAACCGUGCCACCCCAAUUAUAUAUAUGUAGUUAAAACUCGUAGUCGUUGCGUACUUCGAACGAAGACUCCGAUGUUGUAUGAAACGUUAGGGGGACACUUUGUAUGAAAACAGUGAUACGUGUAUACCAAUAAGCUUGCUUAACUAAAGCUAAUCUGAUAGAAAAAGGAUUAAUGAACAAUAUACUACAAGAAAUGAUAAGUCUCUAACAACUUCCCUUUACCCCGAGAAGUCCGGGGAAACCACGUUUUCGUGUUCGUUGUCGUAGAUGUCGACUGGUGAGUAUCGGAUCCUACAGAACGUCUAAACUAGAUAAAACCUAUCUCAUGUACCUUAGUUUGGUGUUCAUUAGUUAAACGAUAUAAGUGCACUAAUCGAUAUUCCUUAAAUAAUGGAGACAAAAUAAACGUCCUAUGGGUUCGUCACGCAUGUUUAACAUCACCACGAACAUCGAAUAGUAGUUAGACGGUAAUAAUAAACAUACAUACACAAGUUUUGCUGGUGGAUCUCUAAGAACUAAACGAGGACCGGCGUGGCAACCCAAAGAGCGCCGAAACAAAGUAAACUCAAGAUAACAAGUUUUGACUUAAACAACUACGAAUCUCAAACCUGACCGGGCAAACUAUGCAGAUGUGAGCACUACGCCUUGUAAAAGGUUGUAUCACACCCAAGUCUUCACUCCUUUUGUUAACCGAACGUCCCAAGUCCGAUGAAAGAACACGAACAAAACGGAACACUAAUGAACUUUGACGUUGGACGUCCAACUUACCCGCGAAAUAUAAAAUCCCGCCUUCUGACUUCGUUUCUUUUGACGCCGAGAAAUCAUAUAGAAGUCUAAACGCCGAGAAACUCGACACCAUGUAAACUAAGCUCUGGGCCUACUCCAGCCAAUCUAAUCCUAAUUUCAGGCGUGUUAUUGAUCCUUGUGACUUGUUCGUUCCGAUAAGUCUACUUCAGACGUGAACUAUGAUAUCCAAAGAAAAACCCGAGAACAUGUCGAAGCGAUCGUAGUACUUAAUUAACACCCUAUACUACGUGUCAUCAUCGAAGAAGACAAAUAAAAUCUUUAGAAUCAAAUAUCCAAAGGAAAAGCAGAGAACAUGAUUACAAGUCCCAUUACCUUUAGAACAUACUAUUAGACGUGUAUCAAGUAUGAUUGUUGUCUUACUACUGUACAAACAAAAACCCGUAUUUCAAUACACGACUAGGAGAACGUAAACCUAAGGCCAGAAUCGGACUGAUACGCCUAUACGAUAAGAUCCAACCAAAAUGCAAAGAAUAACCUUCUCACUCUACGGGUCCUGUCUUAGGUCAAACAUAGUUGCGGAGUAACUUAUCUUAGUACAUCUAAGACGAAGUAUGUUCGAAGUAUUUCUUUAUCAAAAUUCCCUCCUGAAGUUUCUCAUAAAACGGUUUAAACCAUUUCACGCCCCUACCUCCCGUCAGUCGUAGGUGGAGCUCCGUCUCCCCACCCGUCUUCCUGCCAGCCACAAGUUGAGAGAUGCCAAGUUUUGGUUCAGGUAGGUUCGGAGUUUCAUAUUUCUUCCGCGGAUCUGUGAGCUACCCACCACAUUUGGCAUCCCACAGGUAACCACCUCGGUGCUACGUUCGUAGGUUUUGUCUGUAUAACAUAUGCUUCUUACAAGUACGACGGUUCUCUUCACUUCUGUAACGGGUAAACAGGGGACCCACCCGCACAUUGAUCUCUUGUUUUGUGAUACCGCCGUUUACUCGGAUAGCUUGGCUUGACUAACAUGAUUUUUGAUCCUGGAUUUGAACACGACGACCGGUUGGAAAAGAAGUCCCUUACGGUUCUAUAAGCGGUUUGUUUCGGUAUCCUACCACGAUAUGUGUCUCCUGUUGGAUAGUCCCUCAGGUGAUUACUGGUCUACCCAUAGAACAGCGAGUAGAUGUCGUUCAGCCCGAGGUCACACAAACCCAGUCGCAGGUGCCUCCUCGUCUAUUGACUGCCGUAAAUGCGACGGCCCGAGUGAUAGGAGUAGUGUGCACUGGUGUUGGGUGGGUUGGCUGACAAUGUUACCAGUACCUCGAAGAACCUAAUUUGAACGUUUCUCAUCAUGACCUUUCGAAGUAAAAGCAUUCUACGAGACCAUAGAGGCUCAUCUUCUUUCGUUUCGGUUGUUCCCGUUAUGUUUUCCAUCCUUCUGGUAUGCUUCUGGUUAUGUUUUUCCUCCUACGUACUCGAAGUCUAGACUAACUUAAAUCAGUCUUCUACCUCUGAAUCUCCUCCUUAAUCACCUCUUACCCUUCCACCUAUCUUGUACCCUUGUUUAGUUUAUGCACAUCAUAAGGAUACUCCCCUCACUCACCUCUGUCUUUACUCACGUGCACCUCGUCGAUGACGGAUACUCCGCUCACUCACCUCUGCCGGUUUAGAUACGCCGCCUCCCCGAUAUCUUCGAACUUGCUUUCUAAGCAGCGGUCGUAGCCUCGUUAAAUAACCCGUUUAGCCGUGAUUUAGAGGACGUACCUGCACUUCCGUACAGAAAUAAUUCAAGUUAGAAACUUUUGAACCGUACACUGCGACACAUUUUUAUCUUCUACGAUCUUUUAACAGAGACCGGUGAAAGCAUACAUCGGCACUCGUAACGAUUAAAGACAGUUGGACUUGCUAUAAACCUGACAAAUAUAUCGAUGGUACACGACUUGUUUAACAGACUAAUUACAUUAUGAGGACUUAUCUAACCACACGCACGGUACAGUAAACCAGACGCAAUGUGAUUGUCUUAGUAAAACAGUCACCGACCAGGUAAUUAUGAGAAAGUUUUAAAACAGA